rnacentral:rRNA from 1 species
GUGCCAGCCGCCGCGGUAAUACGGAGGAUGUGAGCGUUAUCCGGAUUUAUUGGGUUUAAAGGGUGCGUAGGCGGCCUGUUAAGUCAGCGGUGAAAUCUAGGAGCUUAACUCCUAAAUUGCCAUUGAAACUGGCGGGCUUGAGUGUAGAUGAGGUAGGCGGAAUGCGUGGUGUAGCGGUGGAAUGCAUAGAUAUCACGCAGAACUCCAAUUGCGAAGGCAGCUUACUAAGGUACAACUGACGCUGAAGCACGAAAGCGUGGGUAUCAAACAGGAUUAGAAACCCGGGUAGUCC